rnacentral:rRNA from 1 species
GACGAAUGCUGGCUGCGUGCUUAACACAUGCAAGUCGAACGGUGAAGGAGGGCUUGCCCUCCGGAUCAGUGGCGAACGGGUGAGUAACACGUGGGCAACCUGCCCCUCACUCUGGGAUAACGCCGGGAAACCGGCGCUAAUACCGGAUACGACCAGGCGCGACAUCUCGCCUGGUGGAAAGAAUUUCGGUGAGGGAUGGGCCCGCGGCCUAUCAGCUUGUUGGUGGGGUAACGGCCCACCAAGGCGACGACGGGUAGCCGGCCUGAGAGGGCGACCGGCCACACUGGGACUGAGACACGGCCCAGACUCCUACGGGAGGCAGCAGUGGGGAAUAUUGCGCAAUGGGCGAAAGCCUGACGCAGCGACGCAGCGUGAGGGACGAAGGCCUUCGGGUUGUAAACCUCUUUCAGCGGGGACGAAGCGAAAGUGACGGUACCCGCAGAAGAAGCACCGGCUAACUACGUGCCAGCAGCCGCCGUAA